rnacentral:rRNA from 1 species
CAGCAGCCGCGGUAAUACGGAGGGGGUUAGCGUUGUUCGGAAUUACUGGGCGUAAAGCGCACAUAGGCGGCUUGGUAAGUUAGAGGUGAAAGCCUGGAGCUCAACUCCAGAAUUGCCUUUAAGACUGCCGAGCUAGCAGGUGAGAGAGGUAAGUGGAAUUCCGAAUGUAGAGGUGAAAUUCGUAGAUAUUCGGAAGAACACCAGUGGCGAAGGCGGCUUACUGGCUCAUACUGGACGCUGAGGUGCGAAAGCGUGGGGAGCAAACAGGAUUAGAUACCCGAGUAGUCCCUGUCUCUUAUAC